GACAGAGGUGCCGAGCGUUAGGCGGAAUCACUGGGCUUAAAGCGUGUGUAGGCGGGCGAUCAAGUACCUUGUGAAAUCCCACGGCUCAACCGUGGAACCGCUGGGUAUACUGGUUGUCUUGAGCCGGCUAGGGGCGAGCGGAACAGACGGUGGAGCGGUGAAAUGCGUAGAUAUCGUCUGGAACGCCGAAGGUGAAAACAGCUCGCUGGGGCCGCGCUGACGCUGGAGACACGAAAGCCAGGGGAGCAAACGGG
rnacentral:rRNA from 1 species